ACUUAUCUGCCAUGACCACUGUUUGAUCCCCGCACACCUUCCUGCCUACACGAGUGCUCCCGCUCCUCUGCGGGGGAGCACACGAUGGCCGUAGGUGGGGCGAUGUCACCAUAGCGGGCGGCCGCUGCCUGAGAUUAACUGUGGGUGGAUUAGCAUGGAGUAGGAGACGUGGAUGGACCCCACUCAGAACCAGCAGUCAUUAGGAGGACUCAGCCGCCAGACUCUUCCACGAGCCAGCUCCUCCAAGUCUACACUUUCUAUCUAUCGCUGCUCCAAUGACCAAGUUGUUGCGCGCGCCUGAACCGGACUCGGGAAAUCAAGUCAGUUGUUGCCCACGAGAAGCAGCAGAGGAACGGCAUGGCUAGCGCACAAAUACAAGGAGGGUAGCAGUGACACU